GGUCGAGUACGCAAACGGGCAAAGCGGCAAGCAUGAGAGGCUUGUGAUUUUGCAGGUUCGACUCCUGUCUCGACUAC
rnacentral:tRNA from 1 species